rnacentral:rRNA from 1 species
AUGGGCGUGGGGAAGAAGGUGCUGAACGACGUGAAGCCGUACAUGAUGAUGAUCCUGCUGCAGAUCGGGUACGCCGGGAUGUACAUCGUCUCCGUCGCCUCGCUCAAGCGCGGCAUGAGCCACUACGUCCUCGUCACCUACCGCAACCUCGUCGCCACGCUCGUCAUGCUGCCCUUCGCCCUCUUCUUCGAGAAGGGGACACGGCCCAAGAUGACACUCCGCAUCUUCAUCAAGAUCCUGGGGCUGGCGCUGCUCGAGCCUGUGCUUGACCAGAACCUGUACUACGUGGGCAACAAGCUGACCUCGGCCAGCUUCUCGUCGGCGCUGGUCAACAUCCUGCCGGCCGUCACCUUCAUCAUGGCCAUCGUCCUGCGGAUGGAGAAGCUCCGCCUCCGGAGCUCCCACAGCCAGGCCAAGGUCGCCGGCACCAUCUGCACCGUCAUCGGCGCGGUGCUGAUGAUCAUGUACCACGGCCCCGUGGUGCAGUUCCCGUGGGCCAGGGGCGCCCACCACGUCGACCAGGCCGCCUCCGCCGCCGCCGCCCAGAGCAGCGCCACCUGGCUCAAGGGCACCAUCGCCAUCAUCACCAGCUGCGUCGCCUGGGCCGGCUUCUUCGUCCUCCAGUCGAACACGCUCAACAGCUACCCGGCGGCGCUGACGCUGACGACGCUGAUCUGCGCGAUGGGCACUGGGAUCAACGGCUCGAUGGCGCUGGUGGCGGAGCGCCACGACAUGAGCGCGUGGGUCAUCGGCCUCGACACCCGCCUCUUCACCGUCGUCUACUCGGGCGUGGUGUGCUCCGGCGUGGCCUUCUUCGUGCAGGGCAUCGUGACGGAGACGCGCGGGCCGGUGUUCGUGACCGCCUUCCAGCCCCUCUGCAUGAUCAUCACCGCCGUCCUCGGCUCCGUCAUCCUCAAGGAAGAGACCACUCUCGGAAGUGUGAUUGGCGCGGCGAUCAUCGUGCUGGGCCUCUACUCCCUCAUCUGGGGCAAGAGCAACGACAUCAUCGACAAGCCCGUCCACUCCGUCGCCGAGAAGCUGGCCCUGCCGCUCACCUCCGUCAACGGCAACGGCAACGGCACCAACGGCACCAACGGGACCAACGGCGGCAGGCACGUCAACGGCGGCCAGGUCGCCCACGACGUCGAGACGCCGGCGGUGAAGGGCGCGAUCUGCCACUAG